CGGAGUAUGGUCUAGUGGUAUGAUGCGCGGUUCGGGAUCGUGCGACCCCAGUUCGAUUCUGGGUACUCCGA
rnacentral:tRNA from 1 species